ACAGGCGAGGGCGUUCGGCGACGUUACUGGGGCUGCACGGUGCUUGUAGCUGGGCAGUCUUAUCAUCAGAGUGGAGCCUGGUAACCACGACCUCCCCGCCAGGUCCUGUGUGUUGCUAGCUGGAGAAGGGUAGUUGAAAACUCAGACCAAGCACAGUGUUUAUAUCGGUCAAAACUGGAAAACUAUGUCCGGGCGCAGCCGAGGCUGGAGGAUCCCUUCAGGCCAAGAGCAACCUAGCAAUAUGGCGCGACCGGAUCUCUGUAGUCCUACCUCAACCCCCAGCUACUUGAACCCCAAGGUUGAAGGCUCCAGUGAGCUAUGAUCCCACCACAGCAUUGCAGCCUGCCAGACUGAGACAUGAACUUAUGAAUUCAACACAUGAAGACUUACAACUUGAUAAACCAGCUUCAGGAGGCUGGAGUGCAAUGGUGCGAUCUGGGCUCACUGCAACCUCUACCUCCUGGGUUCAAGCGAUUCUCCUGUGUCAGCCUCCUGAAUAGCUGGGAUCACAGGUUCCUGAAAGGGAGAGAGGAAAUCUUCGAUUUUUCAUGGCUGUGAACCACUGCAAGUAUUGAAGAAAUAUUUACUACUUCCAGCCUCAUAAUCCUGCAGUCAUUUGGCACCUCUGAAGCCUUGGGGAGCACUGAAGCCAAGGCUGCACCGUACCAAAAAUUUGAAACAUGUGAAUGAGCUGAAUGUGGAAGGACUACCGGAAAACACUCCUUUCAGAAUCCCCUCAUUGCAUGAAAUCCCAAGGCUCGAAAACAUCUUUCAAUAACUCCAGUUAGCCUCCAUUGUCUCCAAGCCGGCUUUUGUCCUCAUCCACAACGCCUCCACACAAGCUCUGAACACCUGUCCAUUGCUAACUUGAGACUGCCAUGCUGUUAGGAAGUUCAAGUUCACCACAUGGAGAUGAAAUAAGAUAUCAUGAUAAACAUCCCCAGCUGAUCCCAGCCUCCAGUGAUCCAUCAACUACAUAUAUGAUCCUAAGUCACAUGUGUGACCCCGAGCAAGAUCAGCAGAACAAUCACUCAGCCAACCCACAGAACCCUGAAAAAAUAUAAAUCAUUAUAGUUUAAACCACAAGUUUUGGGUAGCUUGUUAUGCUGCUAUUGAUAAUUAAAACAAACUGGAAUAUUUUCAUCUA
rnacentral:lncRNA from 1 species